AACAGGAGCAGUAAAAAAGUUAAUACAGUGCGUAAUGGUGGAUUCACACCGAACGCCAAAAGCACGGCGGAGGCGUCUAGUUUCAAUGUUAAGUCAAUGGAAAGACGCGAUUUGGGGAUCAGGCGCGGACCUUUAAGUUUUCAGAUGAAUGAAUCCAUACAUCUACCACUUUUCAUUUCGCUGUAACAUCUCAGCAAAAGAAAUGUUCUAACAUUUUUCUAUUUGAAUGAAUAUUAAACAAUUUUUAAAGGUGUGGAGUGUUACUUUUUAAAAUCUUCUACAUUUCUGGUAAACUAUGAUAACAGGUUUUCUUAAAGUCUCACUCUGUACGUCUAUAGGAGCACGUUUGGAGGACCGUCUCUAUGAACACCUAGAGUGGAGCGCUCCACCCCGACCGCAGGCUCACGAACUGCUGGGGGCGGAAAUGAUCCGGGCCGGUCUGGAGGUUGGAUCCACCUCACCCUACGGUGAGCGUGCAUUCACCUGAUUUAUUUACGUACAUGGCAGGUCGAGAGCGAGUAAUGAUUAUGAAUGAUUUCGCUGCUGUGGUGAUCACGGUUUGAUGUUUUGGACCAGGAACGGCGCUGAUGAGGUGCGGAGAGACCCAGAAGCAGCUUGGAGAAACGAAGAGGAAGUUUGUGCAAAGCAGCAACAUUGAUUUCCUCACUCCACUGCGCAUCUUCACUGACGGGGGAGUACAGAGCCAUACAGGGCGCUUCAGUUUGGGAACCAGUACAUCUACCAGGCCAUGCCCCGCAUGCUGUCGCUCUGGUUGGUCUUUGGAGCCAAAGUGUGUGAAUGUGAGAAAACUGGCCGCACAGACAGACAGAUGCGACAGGAGCUCAGUAAAAUCAA